ACUACAUUGCUGGGCUCCACCCCCAGAGUUUUUGGUCCAGUAGGCCUGGGGCCAGAAUGGAGAAUUUGCAUGUCUAACAAGUUCUCAGAUGAUGUUAAUGCUGCUGGUCUGGUGGCCAUACUCUGAAAACAGCUGGUAUACUUUGUGGAAAAUAGAAGUGUAUAGUUGAUCAACCACCUUCAAUUACAGUGGCCCAAGUGAGAAAGGUUUGAAUUACUUUUCACAAGCAAUAUCCUGCCCCACUUCCGGCCUUUCAGAACACGUGACCCAGGGGAUAUCAGAUUCAGUCAAUUUUGCCUGUCAGGAAGGUUACCUUUCUUCCUAGUGGGGGAGCAAAUAAAAAGGAUGGGCCAAGAAGCCAAAACAUGUGCUCAAAUUUUGCCUUUUCCUAAGCGUUUGUUGCCAUUUCAAGGAGUAGAGUUAGUAAAGGAGUAGAGAAAGUAAAAAGUUAAGAGCAGUGAUUUAAAUCUGGCUUCUUGAGGAAUUUGUUGUGGGAGGAUAACAGAAGAAUAUCUCUUUGCAAGAAGCCUACAAGACAUUUUGAGGACCACUGGACUCUUCCCUCUUUCUGUGAUGGGAGUAUAUGUGAUUCCAGUAGAACAGAGGAUUUGGAGAUUACUGGAUCACACAAAGUUUUCCCAGUACCGCUUUUUGAGGAGACUCUCCUUUUCCCAUGGUGUGUUCUUGGCAUUCUUGUUGAAGAUUAAAUGACCAUAUGUGCAUGGGCUUAUUUGAGUGGUGUUCCUGCCUGUGUUUCAGUGUUCUCAGCAGUCUUCAUUCCUGGCCUCCUAAUCACUGGAUCACACCUCAGGCAUACCAUGAAGAUGCUACACUUUUGGUUCCAGACCACUGCAUUAUAACAAAGACUGCAAAAAAAGCACAAUAUUUGCUGCCCCGGUGGAUCAGUAAUGUGGAACAAAGAACACUAUUUUCCUCUCCCUAGCUGAGCACAGAGCAUUGCUGUACCUGAGGUAUUUGCAAAGUUGAAAAUCAUUCCUCAUUUCAUAAAAAUGGGAACAGGGACUAAAUCAGUAAGUGAUUUUCAAAAUAAAAGACAAUCACAGAAACAGACCAGAAAUGCUAAGGUGCAGAAUUACAGUUUUCUAUUUUGUGCUGUUUUCAUGGGAUAUAUUACUCACUCUAAAUUAUCAUUGCUCUUUCUCCUAAGUAAUCUCUUAAAACACUGUUCAGUUCUAACUUCUUGGUGGAUAUGUCUAAAUCUUGACUGGAACAUAGAAAUAAAUGUGAAAAUGGUCUCGUCUCUAUUUUUCUUCUUGCCUCUGGAGUUAACCAGGUAAUACUUAUGCCUACCAGUAAUGAUGAAAGGGAAUAGAUAUCUUUUUCCAGCUAUCGAAACUGUAUUUUUUCUCAUGGAAGCUUUAUUUUUCUCCUCAUGAAUAUGAAGCCUAAAGAAAGAAUUCAACUCAAUUUUCAGCCUUUUGUACCAUUUUAAUAUCCUUAUGAAAUUUUUCUAUAAUUAAAAGAUAACCCAAAAAAGGACAUGCAUCCUUAUGCACAAAUGUUUCCCAAAUAUAUUCCAUUUUAUAAUGCAGUAGUUCAGAGAAGAACCCUGGAAUAUGAAAGAUCUGUGUGUAAAUGACCACUGUGGCAUUCAUUUGCUUUCUAUCUUUGGGCAAGUUACUUAGGUUCUCAGAUUAACUCAUUCUUUGCAAAAUGAUUAUAUAACAAUGCCUAUCUUGCAUUUUUAUGUAAUCUAUUCUAGGAAUCAAGUGAGAGUAUAUUAACAACAAUAACACAGUGUCUGGCACUUAGCAUGUGCUCAGUAAAUGGUAGCUACUGCUAUAGCUCUGGAGUAUUUUUAUUAGUUACUCCAAAUUGAUUUUUGGGAAAUCUCCAAAUUUGGGACCUAUUAUUGUGGACAAAGAAUGUCAUUUGUCAUUUUAGUAAAAUAAAAUGAUAUUGAGUCCAUCAAUCCAUCAGUCACUGCAGCCACCCAGUAUGCUGUACCCUGAGAGAUUUAUGAUAGUGGAAAAAACAGGAUAUUGCCCUAGAUAGUUAAGGUGCAUAUUAAAGGAUUAAUUUCAAUGAGCUCAGACUCUUGCCUCUUCUCAUACAUAGAAAAGCGCUAAAUUCAUUAACUUGAGAUGUCUGGCUUUCUUUCAUUAGCAGUAAUCUUCUGAUGUUCCAACUACCUGUUUACUUGCAAAAACUCCUCCAUAUCUUGGUUCUUCCUGUACUUCUUUGGAACAGUCCCUCAGAGUUAGCUGAGAGGCUCUAUCUUGGGCUUAAAUCCUCAGUAAAGUCUGCCAAAUAAAACAUGAGUCUCAGCUUUUAAGUUGCACUUUUUUUUUUUUUCACUUGACACUCUAUACCAAAUACCUUACUUAAAUAUUCUCAAUAAACAUUAUCCUAACACUAGACCUCAAGAGUCCUGCAACAAAGCAAGCCGAUUAACUUGAUUAGCCUAUUCAUGAUUUGAAGUGUCCAUUUAUUACUCUUGCUCUCCUCUGGGUUCUAAUAGGGCAGAGGCACAGGGGCCAAAGGGGGAUCAAAGUGUCAGUUUGUUAGCAGGUAUUCAAUAACCCCUAAAGAACAGCAUUCGGCUUUACUCUGGAUUCAAAAACAUAUCUAGAACUUCAAAGCUGCUUUACAAAGUCAACAUUGCCUAUUUUCCCAUUGAUGUAGUCAGCCAGUUACCCAAAAUACUUUAGUCAAUAAAUGCCAGGUUUACAGGGAGAAAAUAAAGGAAAUAGAGGGAGAAGAAAACAAGCACUGGAGAGAGAGGGGGAUGGUGGGGGAGGGGUGGUAUUCUAUUUAAAUAUCUCUUCCAAUACUCUCUGGUAAAAAUGUAAGGAUGGAAGAAUAUACACAAUUUGGCAUUUUCUAAAUAUUGUUAACAAAAGUAUUUCAUGUUCAACCACACCUAAUAACAUUCUAGAAGAGAAUUCUGCAAAAUAAUAGCUUUAGAGAUUAUAGGUGUCAAUUACAUGUAUAUAGAAUCAAACAGACUUGCUUCUAAAAUGUGUUAGUUGGGACUUUUUUUUAAUCCUGUCAUGGAAUCAGUUGGCACUUUAUCCUACUAUUCUUUCAGCAUUUAACAUGCCUUGAAUUGCUUUAUAAUCUGCUAGACUUUUCUGUCUGAGGUUCAGAAUCUUAUCUCUUCCUCUGUAUUGAAUCCCCUGCAAUACACAGCACUGGGUUGUGAAGUCAGUAGACAUAAAUUUAAUAGUUAUAGUAUAAAAAAAACUGGCCACAAACCCAUUAGCCUCUCAAGCAUUUCUUCUGCCUAGAACAUCUGAGAAAAGAAAGACAGGUGCCAAAUGUGUCCUUUUGUAUCCUGAAUGAGGCAGUUGUAGUUUAAGUCAGAACAUCUCCUAACAAAUGGAUUUGCAUAUAGAUGUAACCAGCUUAAAUACUGAGGACCUUUCUUAAUGCCAGCCUUAUCUAAUGGCUCAGUUAGAUAUAUAAUCUCAGAGACAUUUCACCAAAUAAAAUAUCAUCUCAUGAUUUGGGGAAAUCUUUGAAAGAUAGGGAAUCACAGAGAAAUUCAAUCCAUUCCUCUAUCCAAGACACUGUUUUUUCUUUUUCUAAAGGUGCUUUCAUAUGCAUCUCUAUCAACCUUUUUCCUUAUUCUGUUAUUCUCCCUAGUGAUUCUGAUUCCAAAAUUCUUUAGGAGAUCAUAGCAAUAUCCCAACUUCACAGGGACAAAGUGUGGCAUAAAACAAGAACAUUGUAGUACAUUGAAUAAAUUGAGAAAUGUAAAAUAAACUCUGUCAUCAGAAAGUAGCCAAGUUACUCUGACCUGAUGUCCUCACUAAGUCGGUGGGUCAGAAUUCUCUUAUUUUUGUGGCUGACCAUGAGCCAAUGCCAAGUAUGAGCCACAAGCCACCCAUGUUCUAUAAAAACUGAAAUACACAGAAGGCUAUUCUGGUCUUUAUGAAAAAUAUUUUAGGAAUUUGGGGAUGAGUGAUACUAUAUGCACUUCUAUUAUUAUGCAUCAGACAGAGAACAGCAUAAUCCCAAAUGUUUAUCUUAUAAAUUUCAACUGUAUUGUGAUUUUGAUGGGCGGAAUUUGAAUGUGAGUUAAAUUCUCUCAGCUCAACACCAAUCCAACUGGUGACAAAUGAACUACUUAAUCAAACUGAUCAUUUAAAAUCAGCCAAUAUAAGCUGAUGUUUGACUAGUUCUGCAUAUUUCUUUAUUUCAUCUUUACUGGGUAGAGGUCAAAUCUUUUCAGUAUAGAAAAGACUGAUUCAAUACAACCAGGAAAAAUGUAUUAUUAGGUGUCCCCUUAAUACUGUGCUUUAUUCAUUCUUUCUUCUAAUAGGUAAUGAAUAGUAGCAUCUUAUUUUCAAAACAUCAUUCUUCAUGCUAAAGGAUCAAGAUAGCUCUGAGGUAAGGAGUUCACAGUAUUACAUGGAACUUUAUUAUUUAAUAUAGAAAGAAAAAAUGAAAGCUCAAUACUUGAUUAUGACUGUGGGUAAGUAUCAAUUAAUGUAGUAAUUUGUGAAUAACCAUAGGAUAUUUUACAGAUUGAUUUUUAAAGUACCUUAAACCGUGGAAAAUUCUGAGACAGCAUCCACUUAUUGCUAUAUAAUUAUCCCAGAGGUGAUGGAAACAGUAGUUCCUUCAAAGGAGGGCACUUCCCAUUGAAAAAUUUUCAGUGGAAACACUUUAGAGUCAACACAUAUACCUUCUUUGUGAUUUGGUUUCAUUUUUACAUAAAUUUAUAUGAUUUAUUUU